rnacentral:misc_RNA from 1 species
CACAAAUAAAAAAAUCCAUGUUUUCACAUGAAAAAUUCAAAGGUUUUUCCAAAGAACUGAGAUUUUGGUCACAGAAGGAUCAAACUGUUUAUGAAGAACAGAGAAAUACCCAAAUGUAAUAACAGAGGCGCACAACAUUGAACAAAUUCCGAGCACAGAUACAGCUGUUAUAAGUCUCUCUACACAAAAAAUACCGCGAAAAGAAUAUUACUUUUCAAUUAGAGGAUGGACCACUAUCAACCAUGUCUGUGUUUUCACUGCGCAAACUGCUAUCUCUUCUGUACAUUGGUUUCGCACCCUGAAAAAUUGUCCCCAGCUUUUUCAUGGCCCUAGCACGUAGCCUGACAGUAUCCUUAGGAACAUUGGGCUCUUUAAGGACCGCUUGGCAAACACGCGAUAAAGUUAACUCAAUAUCCACGACGUUAAUUUGCCAAAGUGAUUUAAUCAUGAUAUCUUUCUUCUCUUCCAUUGUUUUGAUUGCAUCCUCUACUUUGUUCUCCUCGUGGUACUUCUUUUGCUCUUCUUGUAUUUGAAGUAAAGAAACAGCCCCUGAAGCCGCCAUUGCUUGUGAUUUUAUUAGGUGUCCUUUGUCCCUUACCCAUUCUGCCAAAAAUGGCACCUUCAUGAAUCUUUUAGUUUUCCCAAUUUCUCUGGCUGCUUGCCUUGUGUAGAUAUAACCAAUAGUAUGCAGCAUAGCCUCACCAAAAGCAGCUUGAGCAAGAUGUUGCGCUUCUGAUUGUGCCCAUUGUAAGAACUCAUCCUUCCGGCCUUCUACAUAUGGCUGAAGAUGUUCUUUUAAAAUUGUCGUGAGCUUCUCUACCCUUUCCUUUUGCAAUUUCUUCAAUUUCUCCUGAAUGUUCUGCCUACGAAGCUCAGGAACAACUUCAUCCUCUUCAUCUUCAACAGUUUGUAUGGAAGCCAAUCUAAGUUCCCCGACAUAAUCAACAAAUACAUCGCUCCCAAACAGCAUCCCAAAUACAGUAGCAGGGUGCAUCAAAUCCUUCGGCAUAUCUUCUUUACCAUAUUUGUCAUAAAGUUCACGUUUCUCAGGAUCACUCAGCACCUGAUAAGCCUCACCAAGGACCUGGAAAUUACGAGCAGCUUGUGGGUCCCCAGGAUUCUUGUCUGGAUGUGUAGUCCUUGCCUUGAGAUAGUAAGCUUUCUUAAUUUCAGCAGGAGUCGCGGUUGCAGCAACCCCCAAUAUGUCAUAGUACUCUGUGUGCUUCGCCAUAUCUAAUCAAAUGCAAACUUCCAAUGGACUUAAAUCUGCAAUCACUCAACAAUUUGAUUGAAG